GACAAAUACAAGUGUGAGGCGCACACGUGAUGGUGCUCACUUGUGCAGUAUUGCAAUGGUCAGCGGCAACAUUCCAUGCCGCGUGCAGAUAAAAAAUCUCCAGCACCUAUCAGUUGGUUCCCUCGAGCCCCAGGUGUUGAGAUGCAUAGGUCGGCAAGUCUGUUGGCGUUAAAGGGGUAGGAGGUGUUGUUCAAGUAUGAUGUUGAACAUCAGCAUGCUCUGAGGCUGAUUGGUUCAUACCAUCAGCGCAUAAACCCGAUGGCUGGACUCUCCAGCAAUCCCAUGAGAUGGACAUGUGAGCUGCAUUUGACCGUUGAUUGUUGAUCUUUGUCAAAAACCCAAAACUGAUAACCCUAUAAUAGUUAAUUCAUAUGGUCAGAGGUGUUUUACUUGAACACAGAUUGAUAUAGGAGGUGAAGCAUUUGAACAUUGAAGUCUUCAGAGCAUAAACGCCUGAAAUUAUUGCUGAAGUAAAUCAGGAAGGUUAUCUUGCAGCUUCAUGUGCUAUUUUUUUAUCCUCUGAAAGUAUAUGCAGUAUUAUCAGUGGUGAGCGCACAUUGCACUACUUCAGUGUAGAGAUAAGACAGGAUUGGUUUUCUGAAUGUAUAUCAUGUAAUAUCUAAAUUGGUAGCUACUCCAGCUGUUUUAUGAUUCUGUCUUGCAUUGAAUUACUCUAUUAGUUUUUCUGUGAAUUUAGCUCCUAACACCCAUUGUCUUUUGAGGUGGUUGAGGAUUUGUCUAUACAAGCAAAUGUACCUGUCAGCAAUUGAAGAGGUACCACAGUCGGGUUUUUUUUGCGGCAAGGAAGGUUAUGUUGCAGCUUCAUGUGCUAUGUUUUUAUCCUCUGAAAGUAUAUGCAGUAUUAUCUGAGAUGCUAAUUUGCAUGGAGCGUGCCUCAGUUCUGCUGGCCUCCUCCGCUUAUUCUCUCCUAGCCAAUGGAGCAUAGCACGUAGCAGCGCAGAUCGUAAUGACGCAGGCGAG